AUAAGCCGACUCAUUUAUUUUAUUUAUGACCACAUGUUUUAUAUCAUAUGACCGGAUUUUAUAAAUUAGUCUAAACUAAUGCUUUAAUUUAUCGUACAUAAUAUUAUAUUGUGAAUUAUCAUCAUUCUGACAACUUUGUGAUUUAUAUAAAAAAAUAAAGGAUUAAAUAAUAUUUUCUAGGGGGUUAAAAUAUCAUAUUUUCCACUCAAAUAAAAAAAUAAAAAGGAAUAUCUCCUUUUUCAAAUUAGUUUUGGCAUGAAAACCAAUACGCUGGUACAAUUAAUCUGGUAUCUAUAUCUAUGCAUGGGACAUCCACGAAUAGACACAUGUCGUGAGUAGGGGUGUCAAAAUGGGUCAAAUGGUUCAACCCAACCCAAAACCCAAAUGGGUUUACUGUUAAUGGGUCAUGGGUCAACCCAACCCAUUUAUUAAAUAGGUUGGGUUGACCCAUGACUCAUUAAAUUAAAUAGGUUAGAUGGGUUAAUGGUUGACCCAUCAACCCAAUAUCUUUAUAAUGAAUUAUUUUUAAGUUAAGACCAAAUUGAUCAAAAUGAUAAAAUGUUUUUUGUGGUUUAGGCGGAUAAUAGCAUUUUUGCGGGAAAGUGAGUUCUCCCAGUUUUGGUGUGAAAACGUGUUAAAUUGUUAUGACGGAAAAACGUGCUUUGCGGUUUUGGCGAAAAACGCGUUUUUGCGGAAAAACGAGUUUUUGCGGUUUUGGUGGGAAACACGGUUUUGCGGAAAAACUGAUUUUUACAGUUUUGGCGGGAAAUUACGUUUUUGCGGUUUUGGCGGGAAAAUGCGUUUUUGCGGUUUUGGCGGGAAAACACGUUUUUUGCGGGUUUGGCGGGAAAAUGCGUUUUUUGCGGUUUUGGCGGGAAAAUGUGUUUUUUGCGGUUUUGGCGGGAAAACACGUUUUUUUGCGGUUUUGGCGGGAAAAUGCGUUUUUGCGGUUUUGGCGGGAAAAUACGUUUUUUUGCGGUUUUGGUGGGAAAACGCGUGUUUGCGGGAAAAUUGGUUUUUCACUUUUGGCGGGAAAAUGCGUUUUUGCGGUUUUGGCGGGAAAAUACGUUUUUGCGGUUUUGGCGGGAAAAUACGUUUUUGCGGUUUUGGCGGGAAAAUGUGUUUUAGCGGUUUUGGCGGGAAAAUGCGUUUUUGCGGUUUUGGCGGGAAAAUAUGUUUUUGCGGUUUUGGCGAGAAAAUACGUUUUUGCGGUUUUGGCGGGAAAAUGUGUUUUUGCGGUUUUGGCGGGAAAAUGCGUUUCUGUGGUUUUGGCGGGAAAAUGUGUUUUUGCAGUUUUGGCGGAAAAAUAUGUUUUUGCGGUUUUGGCGGGAAAACACGUUUUUGCGGUUUUGGUGAAAAAACGCGUUUUUGCGGGAAAAUUGGUUUUUCAGUUUUGGCGGGAAAUUGCGUUUUUGUGGGAAAACGAGUUUUGCAGUUUUUGCGGAAAAACUUGUUUUGUAGUUUUGGCGAAAAAACACGUUUUGGCGGAAAAACGUAUUUUGCAGUUUUGGCGGGAAAUGCAUUUUACCACCGAAUAAAUGAUUAGACUUUAGAGAAACUCAUGAUUUUCCAAUUUUAUCAAACCUUAGAAUUGGGUUUACUCAUGUUUUUUUUAAUUGAAAACAAAAUGGGUCAGAGUUGACUCAACCCAAUAAACUCAUUAACUUGUAAACCCAUUAACUUGUUAACCCAUUAACUUGUUAAUCCAUUAACCUUUUAACCCAUUAACCCAUUGGAUCAAAAAUAAACAGUUCAUUUGGAUUAAUGGGUCAACUUGGGUUGGGUCAACCCAUGAGUCAUGACCCAUUUUGACACCCCUAGUCGUGAGUUUAGUUACGUUACAUGUUAUGUUUAAUAAGACGUAAUUAUUGUGAAAUGAUCAUUACUAAUAAUGGUUUGUAGUAUGAAAGAGAGAAGAAAUAGUAUUGUUGGGGAAUAAUCAAGUACCUU
rnacentral:lncRNA from 1 species